rnacentral:piRNA from 2 species
UAGAACAACACUCAUGAG